GGAGAGAAUAAGAAAAAUAAUUUUCGUAAUUUUAGUAAUUUUUAAUGAAAAUAAAGUAAAGACUAAAGAGAAAAGUACUGUGAAGGAAAGUUGUUAAAACUUUUUAUAGAAGAAGUAAAAUUUUGUGCCUCGUGUAUCAGAAAAAGUUUAUAUAGUUUAGUUAUAAUAAGUAUCUCGAAAUAAAAUACAGUAAUUUUUAUAAAAUUUUCUUUUUAGAAAAAAAGAAUUUAAUAUAAAAUUUAAAGUGAAAUGCUAGCUGAGUUUUAUGAUAUCUAGUUUUUUUAAAAAUAAAUUUAAUUUAAUUUUUAUAAAGAAAAAGUUAUAAAAUUAAAUGGUAGGGGGGAUUAGCUCUUUACGGAAAAGAUAAUGAAAUAGUUAAAUAAGAGUAAAUUAUAUAUAAAUUAGGCUUAGAAGUAGCUAUAUUGAAAAAGUGUUUUAACUAAAUUAUAAUUGCUUGAAUAUUUAAAAUAAAACUUUUCUUAGGUAUAAAAAAAUGGCUUAAACAAAACAAAACAAGAUAUGAUGAUUUUAUUAGUAAAAUUUAUUGAGUAAAUAAAGAUAUUAAAAGGUAAAAAUUGUUUAAAAAAAUAAGUA
rnacentral:rRNA from 1 species